rnacentral:lncRNA from 1 species
GUUUGAUCUUGUCCCGACAUCUGUGGUUCCGUUCCUGUUUGGAGCUACAUGUCUAGUGUUCUGUUCCAGUAUCGCACCUAUCGUGGGGUGGAUGUGCCUUUUGACUCUGGGGCCGUGCCGUUCCUUCUUCGGCGGUGGUCGCCGGCUAUCGUACUUUCGGAAGUGCUCGAGUGAUGUGAUGUUUUCGUUUCGUGUUUGGUGAUGUGAGUUUGGAUGAGCUCUCGAUUCUAAUCGAUGAUGCUCUCCAAAACUCGUUUGUUUGCGUGGUGGCUGCUGAAUCUCCUAAACCUUCAAUACAGUCGUUUUCAAUACAGUCGUUGGAGGUGGUUUUUCGGUGGAUGUGGUCAAGUUCCCGGUUAUUCUCCAGAGGUUAAUUGAUUUGGUUUGUUCAUGCUUGUCGAUGAAGACAGUGGAAGCUCGUGGUCCGGUAAGAUGUUGGUGGUGCGUCGCUGAGAGGUCCCGGCAGAUCAAGCCAAAAGAGACGCUGACGGUUCAACUUUAAGCCACAUGUUUUUCUUUUUGGUGUGUGGGUAACACGUGGGUUUGAAGAGUGGAUCACUAUCUAUUUCUCUUUUGGGCUUGGAAAUAGUUGAAGGCAUGGUUGGUCUUUUGUUUCUGUAUGUUUUUUACAGGCUAGUCUUUGGGCCCUGUAUUUCUGUAGUUUAUAUUAUGCCUCUGAGCCUUUAUAAAAUAUUUUCAGUGAAAAAAAAAAAGGUACUUAUAAAUCGGUGAAGCAUUAGAUCUAUUAAAUUUAUUAUUUUUCAAAAGUUUUCAAGCUAUAUCAUUAAACAUUAAUAUAAGCUGCGAACAAAUCCCCCACUAGUUUCAAUAAAAAAAAAAGGUAAAACAACCAUUUCUUUGGUCAACUUUAUAUCAUUUUAGUAGAGCAUCUCCGGCUUAGAGUUUUUGUUGAAUACUCAGAAAUAAAAUAAUUAAAAUUUGAAAGGUAGAGAAAAACAGAAACUUUUUUUAUUAAUAUUUUUUUUUGAAAUUCUCUACAGAAACUCUUUAGCUAUUUCAACUUGAGAAUAAUUUUAAAACUUAACUAUUUAAUAGAACAUAUUAAAAUAAUAAUAUUUUAUGAUUAAGAUUCUUAAUAUAAGUUUCGCCGUUGAAAAUAUUCUUAGUGAUCAACUAUCUAUACGAUGAAUAUGACGGCAUGAAAAGUCUUAACCACAACUUGAUAAAAAAAAAUUUAAAAUGUAAGUGAGGGAGAACUUUGAAACUAUAAAGACAAAUAAAAUCGAUAUUAGAAAUAGUUUACACAAUUCUUAUAAACAACCAAAAUUUACACCGCUAGCAAAAAAAAAAGCAACCAAACUUUGAUUUUAAACAGUUUUUAUCAUGCAACUGUGGGAGUACUCCGGCGACUUAGGAAUCAUUUGCGUAAAGAAUUACCUUGAUAACUUGAAGGGCAUGUUGCCAACUCAGUCUCUUUACAUAUAGACAUUGACUUCUCUAUAUUAGAGCAUAUAUUGGUUGGGAAAACAUAUAAAAUUAUAAAUUGAACCAAUUGACAACUAUACAUAUUGGUUUGAAAGAAACAAACAAAGAUGACUAAAUAGUACUACAAAUUGAGCCAAGUCCCAGCCCACUAGUUUAGCAUUUUUUAAGAGAGGAAAAUAAAUUAGUUAUUGGACAGGAAAAAGUCUCAAAAGUCUUAACUAUAGUUUACUAGUAAUUAGUAACACUUAUAUGUAUCACAUAUUUUCUAAAUUGUACUACUAAUUCAAACAGACUUAUUAUUACAUGCGAAUCGCAUGAUGCGAUAGAUAAAAAAGCUAUAGACCAAAUAAUGUAUGGCGAGAGAGGAGAUCUGGGGACCUUAUGUUAAGCUCUCCUGCCUUGAACUUGUUUCUAGUAUCAAUAGUUCUUAUCCACUGCGGAUAGCGCCCUCAUGAUCUUGAAUUUGAUCUCAUCAGGGGUAAAAUCUAUAAAUAAAACUCUACUUAUCAAUAAAUUAUCUCCCCCGUAUGCUUUAUUUAACUUAAAUACACAAGACGGUUUACUUUUUCAACGAUUUUACUAUCAAAGUCUUACACUUUUUCUCGGUUUUUUUACUUAAUAAGAUAUAUUUAAAAGUUAAUACGCAACAGAUCGAUUUAUCAUUCCUUCUAAUUGUAGAGUUUUGCACCGUUGUCUCAUUGUUUCUUCGGGUUUUUGGGUAUUCGCCGCUGUUUUGUGAUUUUUUUAAUAUUUACUAAUUCUAAUGUUUGACAUAUGUGAUUAUAAGAUUCUAAUGUUUGAUAGAUAUAAAAUUUUAUUAUAAAUAUGGCUUUGAUAAUUUAGGUACUUAUAAAACGGUAUCUCUUGUACAGCAUUAGAUAGAAAUUCUUUCAUGUCUGAGAGAUAUAUAAGGGGAUGGUAGACUCUCUCCUUUCUCUCUCUUAAGAAUCCUUGAGAGAAAAAGUCUGAGUCGUGGUGGUUCCCUCUUGUUUGAUCUUGUCCCGACAUCUGUGGUUCCGUUCCUGUUUGGAGCUACAUGUCUAGUGUUCUGUUCCAGUAUCGCACCUAUCGUGGGGUGGAUGUGCCUUUUGACUCUGGGGCCGUGCCGUUCCUUCUUCGGCGGUGGUCGCCGGCUAUCGUACUUUCGGAAGUGCUCGAGUGAUGUGAUGUUUUCGUUUCGUGUUUGGUGAUGUGAGUUUGGAUGAGCUCUCGAUUCUAAUCGAUGAUGCUCUCCAAAACUCGUUUGUUUGCGUGGUGGCUGCUGAAUCUCCUAAACCUUCAAUACAGUCGUUUUCAAUACAGUCGUUGGAGGUGGUUUUUCGGUGGAUGUGGUCAAGUUCCCGGUUAUUCUCCAGAGGUUAAUUGAUUUGGUUUGUUCAUGCUUGUCGAUGAAGACAGUGGAAGCUCGUGGUCCGGUAAGAUGUUGGUGGUGCGUCGCUGAGAGGUCCCGGCAGAUCAAGCCAAAAGAGACGCUGACGGUUCAACUUUAAGCCACAUGUUUUUCUUUUUGGUGUGUGGGUAACACGUGGGUUUGAAGAGUGGAUCACUAUCUAUUUCUCUUUUGGGCUUGGAAAUAGUUGAAGGCAUGGUUGGUCUUUUGUUUCUGUAUGUUUUUUACAGGCUAGUCUUUGGGCCCUGUAUUUCUGUAGUUUAUAUUAUGCCUCUGAGCCU